rnacentral:rRNA from 1 species
UGGGGAAUUUUGGACAAUGGGCGCAAGCCUGAUCCAGCCAUGCCGCGUGUGGGAAGAAGGCCUUCGGGUUGUAAACCACUUUUGUCAGGGAAGAAACGGUUUGACUUAAUACGUUGAACUAAUGACGGUACCUGAAGAAUAAGCACCGGCUAACUACGUGCCAGCAGCCGCGGUAAUACGUAGGGUGCAAGCGUUAAUCGGAAUUACUGGGCGUAAAGCGUGCGCAGGCGGCUUUGCAAGACAGAUGUGA